UCUAAUAAUAAUGGAUCACAGGUUUCAUUUCUUUCCAGCAAGAUCGAUUAACCCAAUUUCAUUUAUUUCAAUAACAAAACCCAACAAAAAUAUAUAUAUAAAUAUUUUCAAUUCUUCUUCUUCUUCUUCUUGCUAUAUAUCUUUUUUUUCUAUUAUAACAUACAGCUGUAACAAUUUAAUUCCCACAACUAUGAUCCCCCUAAAAAAAGGACCACCACCAAAAAAAAAAAAACAUUAUAUGAUUUUUUCUUUUGCAAUUUUUAAAUACGGAAAAAUACAGAAAUCUGUCCCUGUAAAAUGAUUUAUAAGUUUUUUUUUUUUUUUUGGUUUUGUAAAAAAAAAAAAAAAACAAGCAUGUGAUGAUGAGAGAGAGAUGGUGGAAGAAAAAUUAUUAAGCGGAAUCUUCGGCGUGAGAGUUUUCCUUUUUUACCCUCGGCUGUAUCCCGUAAUAACCAACGUACCACUUGACGAACUUCCUCAGCCCCGCCGCUAGAUCCGUCGUCGGUUUGUAUCCGAAGUCUUUGUACGCUAAGCUCACGUUAGCAUGCGUGUAAGGCACGUCACCGUUUCUCGGCAUUUUGAUGAGAUGUUUCUUGGCUUUUGUCCCUAGCAGCCCUUCCAAGAUCGAGACCAGUCUUCCGACCGGAACAGGAGACGUGUUUCCUAGGUUGUAAACACGUAGCUGAGCUUGUCCUCGUUUCUUUCCGCCGCUUCCUGUGCUUUUCUCGGCCGUGUCCAAAGCACCGACACAUCCUUUGACGAUGUCGUCGAUGUAGGUGAAGUCACGCGCCACUUCUUGAUUGUCUUGUGUUCUGUAAAUGUCGAUUGAUUUGCCGUGGAGGAUGUCUUUAGUGAAG
rnacentral:lncRNA from 1 species